UACGUAGGUGGCAAGCGUUGUUCGGAAUUAUUGGGCGUAAAGAGCGCGUAGGCGGUUUGCUAAGUCAGUUGUGAAAGCCCGGGGCUCAACCCCGGAGGGUCGGCUGAUACUGGUGGACUAGAGUACGGAAGAGGUAGCUGGAAUUCCCGGUGUAGCGGUGAAAUGCGUAGAUAUCCGGAGGAACACCAGUGGCGAAAGCGGCCACCUGGACUGCACCUGACGCUGACACGCGAAAGCUAGGGGAGCGAACGGG
rnacentral:rRNA from 1 species